rnacentral:lncRNA from 1 species
GUUUUUGCUUUGGAAUGGUCUGGAACUCCUGAGCUCAAGUGAUCCUCCCACCUUGGCCUCCCAAAGGCCUGGGAUUACACGUAUGAGCCACCGCACCAAGCCCAGGUUGAGCUUUUAAGGUAUUAAAGAUCCACUAGGUGAAAAAAAAGAGUGAAAGAUACAUAUGCCAUUUAAGGGAAGCACAGGAAAACUCCUAUUUUGUUUAUAUGUGAAUAGAGGCGCAUAGAUGCCUAGAAAAGUGUCUGGGAGGGAAUGAAACCAGAUUGGCCACAAAAAUCACCUCUGGAAAAAGGAAAAGAAUGGGGACUUUCACUUUUUGCUUCAUAUGUUUCAUGCACCUUUUUUUUUUUUUUUUUUUGAGAUGGAGUUUCACUCUUAUUGCCCAGGCUGGGGUGCAGUGCGAGACCCCGUCUCAAACAAACAAAACAAAACAAAAUGAGGACAAUGGGGCUUCCAAUGGCAACUCGAGACGUUAGUUUACUCCAGAGUCAUGGAGACAGAGAAUGGAGU